AGUGAACGCUGGCGGUAGGCCUAACACAUGCAAGUCGAACGGCAGCACAGUAAGAGCUUGCUCUUACGGGUGGCGAGUGGCGGACGGGUGAGGAAUACAUCGGAAUCUACUUUUUCGUGGGGGAUAACGUAGGGAAACUUACGCUAAUACCGGAUACGACCUACGGGGGAAAGCAGGGGAUCGUCGGACCUUGCGCGAUUGAAUGAGCCGCUGUCGGAUUAGCUAGUUGGGGGGGUAAAGGCCCACCAAGGCGACGAUCCGUAGCUGGUCUGAGAGGAUGAUCGGCCACACUGGAACUGGGACACGGUCCAGACGCCUGCGGGAGGCACCAGUCGGGUAUAUUGGGCAAUGGGCGCAAGCCUUAUCCAACCAUACCGCGUGGGUUAAGAAGGCCUUCGGGUUGUAAAGCCCUUUUGUUGGGAAAGAAAAGCAGCAGGUUAAGACCCCGCUGUUCUGACGGUACCCAAAGAAUAAGCACCGGCUAACUUCGUG
rnacentral:rRNA from 1 species